rnacentral:rRNA from 1 species
UUAAGUUAAUAAGGGCGCACGGUGGAUGCCUUGGCACUAGGAGCCGAAGAAGGACGGGACUAACACCGAUAUGCUUCGGGGAGCUGUAAGUGAGCUGAUCCGAAGAUUUCCGAAUGGGGGAACCCACUGUUCGUAAUGGAACAGUAUCCUUGCUUGAAUACAUAGAGCAUGGAAGGCAGACCCAGGGAACUGAAACAUCUAAGUACCUGGAGGAAGAGAAAGCAAAUGCGAUUCCCUGAGUAGCGGCGAGCGAAACGGGAUUAGCCCAAACCAAGAGGCUUGCCUCUUGGGGUUGUAGGACACUCUAUACGGAGUUACAAAGGAACGGGGUAGACGAAGAAGUCUGGAAAGGCUCGUCAAAGAAGGUAACAACCCUGUAGUCGAAACUUCGUUCCCUCUUGAGUGGAUCCUGAGUACGGCGGGACACGUGAAAUCCCGUCGGAAGCUGGGAGGACCAUCUCCCAAGGCUAAAUACUCCCUAGUGACCGAUAGUGAACCAGUACCGUGAGGGAAAGGUGAAAAGCACCCCGGGAGGGGAGUGAAAGAGAACCUGAAACCGUGUGCCUACAAGUAGUCGAAGCCCGUUAAUGGGUGACGGCGUACCUUUUGUAGAAUGGACCGGCGAGUUACGAUCGUAUGCAAGGUUAAGUGGAAGACACGGAGCCGCAGCGAAAGCGAGUCUGAAUAGGGCGAUAUAGUAUGCGGUCGUAGACCCGAAACCGUGUGAUCUACCCAUGUCCAGGGUGAAGGUCAGGUAACACUGACUGGAGGCCCGAACCCACGUAUGUUGAAAAAUGCGGGGAUGAGGUGUGGGUAGGGGUGAAAUGCCAAUCGAACACGGAGAUAGCUGGUUCUCUCCGAAAUAGCUUUAGGGCUAGCCUCAAGGAAAGAGUACUGGAGGUAGAGCACUGAUUGAACUAGGGGCCCUCAUCGGGUUACCGAAUUCAGUCAAACUCCGAAUGCCAGCUACUUAUCCUUGGGAGUCAGACUAUGGGUGAUAAGGUUCAUAGUCGAAAGGGAAACAGCCCAGACCGCCAGCUAAGGUCCCAAAGUAUACGUUAAGUGGAAAAGGAUGUGGAGUUGCCCAGACAACCAGGAUGUUGGCUUAGAAGCAGCCACCAUUUAAAGAGUGCGUAAUAGCUCACUGGUCGAGUGACUCUGCGCCGAAAAUGUACCGGGGCUAAACGUAUCACCGAAGCUGCGGAUUGUUCUACGAACAAUGGUAGGAGAGCGUUCAAAGUGCAGUGAAGUCAGAUCGUGAGGACUGGUGGAGCGCUUUGAAGUGAGAAUGCCGGUAUGAGUAGCGAAAAAAGAGUGAGAAUCUCUUUCACCGAAUGCCUAAGGUUUCCUGAGGAAGGCUCGUCCUCUCAGGGUUAGUCGGGACCUAAGCCGAGGCCGAAAGGCGUAGGCGAUGGACAACAGGUAGAUAUUCCUGUACCACCUCAUGAACGUUUGAACGAUGGGGGGACGCAGUAGGAUAAGGAAUGCGCACGGAUGGAUGUGUGCGCCCAAGCAGUGAGAAAGUCGGAUAGGCAAAUCCGUCCGAUAAUUUCAAGCUGUGACGGGGAGGGAAAUAGAGUACCGAAGUUCCGGAUUUCACACUGCCAAGAAAAGCCUCUAGUAAGUUCAUAGGUGCCCGUACCGCAAACCGACACAGGUAGGCGAGGAGAGAAUCCUAAGGUGAGCGGGAGAACUCUCGUUAAGGAACUCGGCAAAAUGACCCCGUAACUUCGGGAGAAGGGGUGCUCCUUUAAGGAGGAGCCGCAGUGAAUAGGCCCAAGCGACUGUUUAGCAAAAACACAGGUCUCUGCGAAGCCGAAAGGCGAAGUAUAGGGGCUGACACCUGCCCGGUGCUGGAAGGUUAAGGGGAAACGUUAGUGCUUCGGCACGAAGCGUAGAACCGAAGCCCCAGUAAACGGCGGCCGUAACUAUAACGGUCCUAAGGUAGCGAAAUUCCUUGUCGGGUAAGUUCCGACCCG